GUCUCAGGCUGGAUCAGCCUGAAGGCGCCCGAUCUCGUCUGAUCUCGGAAGUCUAAGCAGGGUCGGGCCUGGUUAGUAUCUUGGAUGGGAGACCACCUGGGAAUCCCGGGUGCUCGAGGCU
rnacentral:rRNA from 1 species